UUGCGCCUCUUAGACUAUGAGUUGACUAGAAUGGGUUUCCUUGUUAAGAUUUUUAUAGCCUUGAUUGCAUGGGUACAUUCUGGUUGAUGGGCAUACACAGCGAGUUCCUUUGAAAGCUGGAACUGGCAAAACCAUUGGACUGCGGAUCAGUGAACGCAAGCAGUUGAAGGAGCUUGGUUUCUUCACUGAAUUCUUGAAUGAAAUAUCAGUAUGUCAAUGAAAGUGUAUUAUCGAUGGCCUCCAUUUACUGCAAUUUGUAUUGACUGAUUUGGUGUACUUUUUGAAGUUGAGAGCAUUUGGCGUCUUUCUGGCCGUGGAAAAUCAUGAUGUGGAUUGAUAGAAAUGAGUUAUUUCCACGAAAAUGAAAUUGGGGCAUAGGACUUCACGCACUAAUAAUGGAGCGUGGCCACGUGAAGUAACAUAAAAAGGUCCUUAGCUAAAUAAACAGACGAACUUUUAUCCUUCCUUCAAAUUCUAAUGGAAGUUUGGAACAAAAGUUGAGGAAUAGUGAAGCUAUCCACUGUUUUCUCUCAUGGUAUUUCACCUUGUAAUCUCUAAUGACGUCAAAUUUUCAUAAUUCCAUUUUGGUGUUAUGCCAACCUUGAUGGAGAUGAAAUUGAGAACUGCUUGCAUUUCUUAUACUUAUUCCAAGGAAAAUUAUACAUUUGAUAACAUUCUCAGUAUCAAAAUAUAAGAUUGGAUGGAAUCCGAACGAACGGUAAAAAGGCCGAGGAGCCUCCCAAGUCCCAGCAGUCAAACACCACGCACAUCCACCCACUCACAAUGUUGAGAGCUCCGAGUCUCAGGCGUUCCCUCCGAGCCUUCCACCAUUACCACCACCACCACCACCACCACCACCACCAGCCCACCAGCCCACAUUCCAACCUCCUGAAAGCCCUCUCCUCCACCACUUCCCCAAAUCCUAACCCUAAUCUCACCCGCCCCUUCUCUUCUCUCUCAUCAUCUCCUUCUUCGGAGGCCGAGUUCCGCAAGUACUUGGGCUACUUCGCUCUUCUCCUUGGAUGCGGCAUCGCCACCUACUACUCCUUCCCUUUCUCCGAUUCUGCCAAGCACAAGAAAGCCCAGUUGUUCCGCUACGCUCCAUUACCCGACGAUCUCCACACUGUCAGUAACUGGAGUGGAACCCAUGAAGUCCAAACCAGGGUUUUUCACCAACCCGAGUCCCUUGAAGAAUUGGAACAGAUUGUUAAGGAGGCCAAUGAGAAGAAGCAAAAGAUUCGACCCGUGGGAUCGGGGUUGUCGCCGAAUGGGAUUGGGUUAACUAGGGCUGGCAUGGUGAAUUUGGCCCUCAUGGAUAAUGUGUUGGACGUGGAUGUGGAGAAAAAGAGGGUUCGGGUCCAGGCUGGGAUUCGGGUUCAGCAGCUCGUUGAUGCUAUCAAAGAUUAUGGCAUUACCCUGCAGAAUUUCGCGUCCAUUAGGGAACAACAAAUUGGCGGUAUUGUUCAGGUUGGUGCACAUGGCACUGGUGCAAGAUUGCCUCCCAUUGAUGAGCAGGUCAUCAGCAUGAAACUGGUUACUCCUGCCAAGGGAACAAUAGAGGUUUCAAAAGAGAAAGAUCCGGAGCUGUUUUAUCUUGCUCGCUGUGGCCUUGGCGGGCUUGGAGUGGUUGCUGAAGUCACCCUCCAAUGUGUUGAGAGACAAGAGCUUGUGGAGCACACGGUUGUUUCAAACAUGAAAGAGAUCAAGAAAAACCACAAGAAAUUGCUUUCUGAGAAUAAGCAUGUGAAGUACCUGUAUAUUCCUUACACCGACACUGUUGUGGUUGUGACGUGCAACCCUGUUUCAAAAUGGAAGGGUCCACCCAAGUUCAAACCCAAGUAUAGCCAUGAUGAAGCUAUACAGCAUGUUCGUGACCUCUAUCAGGAAUCACUAAAGAAGUAUAGCCCUGAAGCAAUCACCGCUAAAUCUUCAGACAACAGUGAGCCUGACAUCAAUGAGCUUUCGUUCACAGAACUAAGAGACAAGUUACUUGCCCUUGAUCCCCUGAACAAAGACCAUGUUAUACAGGUUAAUCAAGCUGAAGCAGAGUUCUGGAGAAAGUCAGAGGGAUACAGAGUGGGCUGGAGUGAUGAAAUCUUGGGAUUUGAUUGUGGUGGCCAACAGUGGGUCUCAGAAACCUGUUUUCCAGCAGGAACCUUAGCAAAGCCAAGCAUGAAAGACCUUGAAUAUAUAGAGGAUCUGAAGAAACUCAUAGAGAAGGAAGAGAUACCUGCACCUGCUCCUAUAGAGCAGCGCUGGACAGCAUCCAGCAAGAGCCCCAUGAGUCCAGCUUCAAGUUCAGCAGAGGAUGAUAUAUUUUCAUGGGUUGGCAUAAUAAUGUAUCUUCCAACAAUGGAUGCCCGCCAGAGAAAGGAAAUAACAGAAGAGUUCUUCCAUUACAGACGUCUGAGUCAAACACAACUAUGGGAUCUGUAUUCUGCUUAUGAACAUUGGGCUAAGAUUGAGGUUCCGAAGGAUAAGGAUGAGCUUGCAGCUCUUCAGGCAAGGCUAAGAAAGCGUUUUCCAGUGGAUGAAUACAACAAAGCACGGAAAGAACUGGAUCCAAACAGGAUCCUUUCUAAUAACAUGCUGGGGAAGCUGUUCCCAUCAUCGGAUACCAUUUGAGAAGCUUCACUUUUUGCAAGGCUCUGCCAUUUGAAAUCAUCAUUCAGAAGCAAGAUUCACAAAUCCAGCAGCAACAUAGAGCGAAGAGGCUGCAGCGGUGAAAACAAGAAAAGCAAAGGAUUAGCAUCUGGAAGGGAGUUGGUUUUGGAAAAAAGGCUUCUAAGAGCCAUUUCACUGCCUUCUAGAUUCCCAUAUUUAGAAGGAAAUAAAGGUGCUAGAGAAAAUAUUGUGCUCGGGGCAUGUUGUAUUUCUGUUUGUGUUUUCAACUGGAACAAAAUCCAGGACCUCCUGUGGAAAUUGCUCUCUAGUUCAAAUGGAAGCCACGCUUUCUUUGAAGUUGCUUCCAUGACACAAGAACGUUUUGGCUCGAGUAUUGAUAGAAGAAGAGAACCAACUUACCAUCCCUCAAUGAAGCCCCUGUCUCCUUUACUCUUUGAACGAGGACAGCAAUUCUUCCCAGUAGGGGGAUUAGCCGGAAUGUGUACAUUUGUCUGUGUGGGAGGCAGACCUUGUGGGGGCUGAUUCUCUUGUGGAUUGGAUUUCGGCAUUAUGGAACUAGAGGAGCACCGGGUAUAAGAUACUGUUGUUUCUUUGAGCAACUGUUGUAUCUGUCAAAAAAUACUUAAUGGGGCUCUGUCAUUGUUUGUAUAUAUAUAGUAGUAUGGAUUACAUUAGAUGGAAUUAAGGAAUUUGAUAUGAGGGUGUGUGCUGUCAGUCGGUUCGUAUUGGCCCACCUAAUGCCUGUGGAGGGAUUGGUGACAGAAAUUUUAGAUAAUAAAUCUUUUGAAUGGGUUUGACCUGCAA